rnacentral:misc_RNA from 1 species
GAUGAAGAACGCAGCGAAAUGCGAUAAGUAGUGUGAAUUGCAGAAUUCAGUGAAUCAUCGAAUCUUUGAACGCACAUUGCGCCCUUUGGUAUUCCUUAGGGCAUGCCUGUUCGAGCGUCAUUUAAACCUUCAAGCCCUGCUUGGUGUUGGGUGCCUGUCCCGCCCCCGCGCGUGGACUCACCUCAAAUCCAUUGGCGGCCCCCGCAAGGCCACGAGCGCAGCAGAAACGCAAACUCGUGUGCCCGGCGGGCGGCUCCCAGAAGCUACACCCACCAUUUUGACCUCGGAUCAGGUAGGAAUACCCGCUGAACUUAAGCAUAUCAAUAAGCGGAGGA